UACGUAGGGUGCAAGCGUUGUCCGGAAUUAUUGGGCGUAAAGAGCUCGUAGGCGGUUUGUCGCGUCGAAUGUGAAAACCCGGGGCUCAACCCCGGGCCUGCAUUCGAUACGGGCAGACUAGAGUUCGGUAGGGGAGUCUGGAAUUCCUGGUGUAGCGGUGAAAUGCGCAGAUAUCAGGAGGAACACCGGUGGCGAAGGCGGCUUCCUGGACCGACACUGACGCUGAGGCGCGAAAGCGUGGGGAGCAAACAGG
rnacentral:rRNA from 1 species